GGGUGCGAUUAUACCAGCACUAAUGCACCGGAUCCCAUCAGAACUGCACAAUUAAGCGUGGUUGGGCGAGGGUAGUACAAGAAUGGGUGACCUCCUGGGAAGUCCUCGUGUUGCACCCC
rfam:Gossypium arboreum cultivar AKA8401 contig_30330_1, whole genome shotgun sequence.